rnacentral:lncRNA from 1 species
CAGCCAAACUACCUGAGGUAGGUGAGUUCUAAUUACAGGGAGUCAAUCUGUCUCAAAAACAUAAAAGUGGAAAUUGAUUGAGGAAGACACUUAACAUUAACCUCUGACCUCCACAUGCUACAUGUAUACAUACCCAUACUGAAACAACUAUACACACAUACAUAUUACACAUACAUACAUACAUACAUACAUACAUACAUACACAUAUAUACACAUAUACACACACAUACACUUAUAUACAUACACAUAAACACACACAUACACACAUAUAUAAACACAUAGACACUUACACAUAAACACACACAUAUAUAAACACAUACACACAUAAACACACAUAUACCCAUUACAUACAUACAUGCAUACAUACAUACAUACAUACAUAUACACACAAAUACAUAAUACUUAUAUACACACACACUUGCAUGCAUGUAUAACACACUUGCAUAGACACACACACAAACACACAUACACAUGUAUACACACACAUAUACAUACACAUGCUGAGGAUUAUAGAAUGUUUUAAAAUAAGCACAGCAGCCUGUUGUUCCAAUUCAUUAUAAUCGUAUGUAAUCACUUAAAAUCUCUAAAAUUUUAGAGGCAAGAACUGUCUAAGCCAGGUCUUUUUUUUUUUAAGGUAUUCUUUUUCUCAUAUAGGGUUCUUUACAAAAUGAUGAACUCUUGCUCCUAAACCUGCUUUACUUUCAGCCCAUUUACAACAUAGGGCUUCCUUCCUCUUUCUGAGCCGAUAAAUCCCAUGUUAUCAGCCCGGAAUCAGACAGGAUACUUGGGAAACUGAUGUGCCCCACAGAAAGCAUUUCGCAUGGCAUCUGAUAAGGGGAAAAAACACCUUGCAAUCUUCAGAUGUGAAAUCGCCUGGGAAUCUCCUAACAUCAUUUAACAAAUGACAAGUAACCAGGGCAAGGAACAUGAUUGCAUUCCCCUUUAACCAACCAGAGCCAUUGGGUAGCUGGAAUAUCACCUGGGAGAGAAAGAUAACCAGGAUGCACGAAACGAAACGUAAAAUACACUCCAGUGUGCUUGCCGGGACAAAUCCCCAGGAGAAGAAAAUGUAUAGUGCAGAGACUUGGAUGCCAUGGAAGGAGUUAUUAGCCAGCUGGGCAGAGGGAGUGACAUUUGGUUGAGGCAGGGUGUGGGCACAGCUCUCCAGGCAAUCUGGCUUCCGUCUUCCCUACUAUUUGGCAAACUCAUAUACCCUUCCUUCUUCUUCACUCCCCCUCAUAUCUGAAGUCGUUAUCUUAGGGCAAGAUGAUUUAGUGUACAUUUCGCAUAAUGUGGCUUAAGUAGCUUUCCAAGCAAGACAGACCCCCUGGAAAAGAGCUCCAGGUCAAGAAGCAGUUUCGUGUGUCCGCUCCGGCUCAGACCUGGUCUGACAGACCUCAACCACGUCUCGCUUCCUUGUGUCCCUAAAACCUUCCUUUGUACUUUGAGGUGAGCCAGAAUCAAAUUGCAACCUCUUUAGAUAGGGGAGAGUUGAGAACAUGAGACACAGGCUCCAUUUUCCUCCCUGAGCCAAGGAGCUCUCAAGACCGCACAGAAGAAAAGCCUCCAGCCGCCUUCUCUGUUUACUGCAUCUAUUUAGGGGAAGGUCAGGGUUUCCUCACCCUGAUAAAGGAUGGCGAACACAGCGCUUGUUCCCAGGCGACUCUUGUGUUUUUCGCUUUCUUUGUUCUCCGAUGUCUGACCUGCUUUUGUCAGGCUAAAGUUCAGGAGCCAUCUGUAAGGCGUUCUUCAAGGUAACAAGGACAAAGAUGAGAGAGCCAUGUGCGCAAUCAGGCACACAGAUGAAUCCAGACUAUUUUGUAGCAUGACCCACCCCAUCCUAUGUCAGCCUUGUGAUUUGCCUUCCACUUUUGUCAGGACCAUGAGUCGGGGAUGCUAGGAGGACAGGGAGGUUAGCUGUGAUGAGGCUAGCGAGGCUAGCGUUUGAAGGAGGUGAAGGCAUGAUUACGUCUAUUCUGUUUCCUAUGCCGUUUGCAUUCCG